UACGUAGGGGGCAAGCGUUGUCCGGAUUUAUUGGGCGUAAAGCGCGUGUAGGCGGCCAGGUAGGUCGGUUGUGAAAAUUGGAGGCUCAACCUCCAGACGUCGAUCGAAACCAUCUGGCUAGAGUCCGGAAGAGGAGAAUGGAAUUCCUGGUGUAGCGGUGAAAUGCGUAGAGAUCGGCAGGAACACCCAGGGCGGAAGCAGGCGACUGGGCAUUGGCUGACACUGAGGUGCGAAAGCGUGGGGAGCGAACUGG
rnacentral:rRNA from 1 species